UUCAGCCCUGAUAUCUGGGGGCGCUCUCCUCCCUCUAUGGGCGUUCAGCCCUGAUAUCGGGGGGCGCUCUCAUCCCUCUAUGGGGGUUCAGCCCUGAUAUCCGGGGCGCUCUCAUCCUUCUAAAGGGGUUCAGUCCUGAUACAUGGGGGUGCUCUCCUCCCUCUAUGGGGGUUCAGUCCUGAUAUCAGGGGGCGCUCUCGUCCCUCUAUGGGGGUUCAGCCCUGAUAUCUGGGGGCGCUCUCCUCCCUCUAUGGGCGUUCAGCCCUGAUAUCGGGGGGCGCUCUCAUCCCUCUAUGGGGGUUCAGCCCUGAUAUCCGGGGCGCUCUCAUCCUUCUAAAGGGGUUCAGUCCUGAUACAUGGGGGUGCUCUCCUCCCUCUAUGAGGGUAACACUUUCCAGGGAUUUUUCUGUUUCUUUUCCAUUAUAAGCAGAAAACUAAAGCGUCAGAAAUUCUUCCGGAAACUGUAAAAUGUCAGUUGAAUCUGUGGCUCAUAAACUGCUUCCGGCUGCCCAUAGACUUUCAGGCUGCUGAUUGCCACACCCCAAUCAUCCAGACGUUCAGAGGGCAUUGUAUUCAGUCUGUGUGUUAUCUCCUAUAGGUUCUGACUCCAGGAGGAGAAGUCCCCCCGAGAGAUGUCCCCGUCCUCUGUAUUCCCAGGACUGUCCAGAGGAGAAGCUCCCAGAGAACCAUCAGGAUGAAAAUCUGAUGGAUAUUAAGGUCGAGGUUAAAGAUGAAGAAGAAGAGGAGACGGAUUUAUGGGGCGAUCAGCAGGAUGGACUCAUAGAAGGAAAUCCCCCCGAGAGAUGUCCCCGUCCUCUG